AGGGAAAAACCUGCAGCUUAGGCUGGAUACUUUAUUCUGGUAUCUAAGCUCAAGGACUGGAUAUACCAAAAGAGUGUCAGAGAAAAUUACUGAGUUCUCCAGGGCCAUCACUUCAGAAGUGCUGGAAGAAUGCAUUGCGGGGAAUUCUCUUGAGAUGGGUGACACUAUAGUUAAGGAAACAGAGAACGGAGACCCUACAGGUCAUAGAUGUAUGGCUGUACUUGGCACACCCUGAGGGUAGCUAACAGCCUCCUGUGGAGAACAAAGAACAGAUCCAGGGUGAUGCUGGUAGAGUUCCAAAUGUAAAUAGUCUGUGGGCUAGCAUCCUUCAAGACAUUUUAAUGCUGGAACUCUGAUCAGGCAGUAGCAGUUUUGGAAAUAGAAACCUUCCAUCCCAGCACCCUGAACAUGGAUUCACAUAGAUGUGCUCUUGGCUUUGACUAAUCACACUUCAAGAUUCUUGUGCAAAACAGAUGUGCAAUACUCCGUUUUCUGCUUUAAGCAGAAUGAGUUAUUGACUCAGAUUUGAGAAUUCUGCAAUCUGCAAGAGACUGGAAAACACUGAAAGUUUUUCAGGUGUGGAGUUAAAAUCUCAGUAACUCCCAUACUUGAAUCCAACCUCCUCCACUUGUGCCAAAGUUGCAGACACCAUGUUUGUCACAGUCUAGAUAAAAGUUGUAUGAAGCAUAUUGAGAGGCAGCAAAGUGCUGGAGCAACAUGCUUACUAUCCGCUCUGGUCCAGUGCUGCCAUGUGACUUCUUUGUAGGCAAUGAGUGCUGAAAGAAGUAAUGACAAGCUCUUUCUGGCCAGGAUUUUGGCAGUGGAGCAAGUCAGAUGUUGUCCAUGAGAGCUUUUGGAAAUUGUAUGACCUGAGGAAUUAACUGGGAUGGAAACCUGUAUCACACAUCUAUUAGCUUUGCCUUUGUUGUCAGGGGACAUUGUAGAAGAG
rnacentral:lncRNA from 1 species